AUUGAACGCUGGCGGCAUGCCUUACACAUGCAAGUCGAACGGUAACGCGGGGCAACCUGGCGACGAGUGGCGAACGGGUGAGUAAUGUAUCGGAACGUGCCCAGUUGAGGGGGAUAACUGCUCGAAAGAGCAGCUAAUACCGCAUACGACCUGAGGGUGAAAGCGGGGGAUCGCAAGACCUCGCGCAAUUGGAGCGGCCGAUAUCAGAUUAGGUAGUUGGUGGGGUAAAGGCUCACCAAGCCAACGAUCUGUAGCUGGUCUGAGAGGACGACCAGCCACACUGGGACUGAGACACGGCGCAGACUCCUACGGGAGGAAGCAGUGGGGAAUUUUGGACAAUGGACGCAAGUCUGAUCCAGCCAUGCCGCGUGCGGGAAGAAGGCCUUCGGGUUGUAAACCGCUUUCGUCAGGGAAGAAACGCUCUGGGUUAAUACCUCGGGGUAAUGACGGUACCUGAAGAAUAAGCACCGGCUAACUACGUGCCAGCAGCCGCAGUAACAC
rnacentral:rRNA from 1 species